rnacentral:lncRNA from 1 species
UUUCAGCUUAAGUACAUCAACAACCUCUGUACAUUUUGAAACUGGACCCCGAGGAGAGGAUAAAGUAAUGAACUCGCAAUAUGUCUUCACAACGAAGCCUGACAAACUGUUCAACCGUGAAGUUACCUCCAUGCUUCAUCAUCAUUGACAAAUGACAUUGAAUGGGAAAUUCUUAACUAUUGUGUUACUAUUCCAUGGAAUAAAAGCCACAUUUCAUUAGCAGUACAUUCGGAGCAAGUUUCAAA